rnacentral:rRNA from 1 species
AGAGAGAGACAUGCGCGCAUAUCAAUAAGCGGAGGAAAAGAAACUAACAAGGAUUCCCCUAGUAACGGCGAGUGAAGCGGGAAGAGCUCAAAUUUGAAAUCUUAAAGGGUUUCCCUUUACGAAUUGUAGUUUAAAGAAGUGUUUUCUGUUGAGGUUUUGGUAAAAGUUCUUUGGAAUAGGACAUCAUAGAGGGUGAGAAUCCCGUAUUUGACCUUUACUUUCAACUUUGUGAUACACUUUCAAAGAGUCGGAUUGUUUGGGAAUGCAGUCCAAAAUGGGUGGUAAAUUUCAUCUAAAGCUAAAUAUUGGCGAGAGACCGAUAGCGAACAAGUACCGUGAGGGAAAGAUGAAAAGAACUUUGAAAAGAGAGUUAAACGGUACGUGAAAUUGUCAAAAGGGAAGCGUUUGACACCAGUGUUGUUUUUCUGAAAAUCAAUUAAAGAACUGUUUAUGCUAAGUUGUUUAGACUUUAUCAGCUAACUGUUUAGUUUUGAGCUUUUCUUUAAUGCACUUUUCAGUUAACAAGUCAACAUCAAUUUCUUUUCGCUGUAAAAAAGCUUGAGGAAGGUGGCUUGAGAUUCGUCUUAAGUGUUUAUAGCCUCUUGCCUAUGCAGUCGGAGAGAUUGAGGUCUGCAGCGUAGAUCCUUCGGGGCUAAAUGCAUUUGCGCUAAGUUAUAGCAUUUUAUAGACAACUUGUUGACUAUGAUUUGUCUUGUAGCUUACUCGCUUAUGUUAUUUUACCUACGCUUAGGAUGUUGAGCGCAUGUCUCUCUCU